ACUCCUACGGGAGGCAGCAGUAAGGGAUAUUGCGCAAUGGGCGGAAGCCUGACGCAGCAACGCCGCGUGGAGGAUGAAGGCUUUCGGGUCGUAAACUCCUUUUGUCAGGGACGAGGAGGGACGGUACCUGACGAAUAAGUCACGGCUAACUACGUGCCAGCAGCCGCGGUAAU
rnacentral:rRNA from 1 species